GACGAACGCUGGCGGCGUGCCUAAUACAUGCAAGUCGAACGCAGUGGGGACGGGUGAGUAACACGUGGGUAACCUCCCAUCAGAGGGGAUAACACUUGGAAAAAGGUGCUAAAACCGAUACUGAUGGAUGAACCUGCGGUGGAUUAGGCAGUUGGUGAGGAAACGGCUCACCAAGGCCACGAUGCAUAGCGGACUGGAGAGGGUGAUCGGCCACACUGGGACUGUGACACGGCCCAGACUCCUACGGGAGGCAGCAGUGGGGAAUAUUCGGCAAUGGACGCAAGUCUGACCGAGCAACGCCGCGUGAGUGAAGAAGGUUUUCGGAUCGUAAAGCUCUGUUGUUAGGGAAGCGGUAUCUAACCAGAAAGCCACGGCUAACUACGUGCCAGCCGCCGCGGUAAUUC
rnacentral:rRNA from 1 species